rnacentral:rRNA from 1 species
AAUGAACGCUGGCGGCGUGCUUAGCACAUGCAAGUCGAGCGAGGCCUGGGGGGCGAACUCCCAGAGUCGAGCGGCGGACGGGUGAGUAACACGUGGGUAACCUGCCCGGAAGUGGGGAAGUACCUCGGGGAAACUCGAGCUAAUACCGCAUGACAUCUCCGGGACGAAAGUCCUGGCGAUCAAAGCGGGGUCGCAAGAUCUCGCGCUACCGGAUGGGCCCGCGCCCGAUUAGCAGUUGGUGAGGUAACGGCUCACCAAGGCUUCGAUCGGUAACCGGCCUGAGAGGGCGAUCGGUCACACCGGAACUGAGACACGGUCCAGACACCUACGGGUGGCAGCAGUCGAGAAUUUUUCACAAUGGGCGAAAAGCCUGAUGGAGCGACGCCGCGUGGGGGA